UGAGGAAUAUUGGUCAAUGGGCGCAAGCCUGAACCAGCCAUCCCGCGUGCAGGAAGACGGCCCUAUGGGUUGUAAACUGCUUUUCCGGGGGGAGAAUUUUUCCGUCGUGACGGGAAUUGACGGUACCCCGGGAAUAAGCAUCGGCUAACUCCGUGCCAGCAGCCGCGGUAAUACGGAGGAUGCGAGCGUUAUCCGGAUUUAUUGGGUUUAAAGGGUGCGUAGGCGGAAUGAUAAGUCAGUGGUGAAAACCUGCAGCUUAACUGUAGACUUGCCGUUGAUACUGUCAGUCUUGAGUGUGGUCAAGGUAGGCGGAAUGUGUAAUGUAGCGGUGAAAUGCUUAGAUAUUACACAGAACACCGAUUGCGAAGGCAGCUUACUGGGCCAUUACUGACGCUGAUGCACGAAAGCGUGGGGAUCGAACAG
rnacentral:rRNA from 1 species